rnacentral:rRNA from 1 species
UACGUAGGGGGCAAGCGUUGUCCGGAAUCAUUGGGCGUAAAGAGCGUGUAGGCGGGUCGUUAAGUCGGGGUGAAAUCCUGGAGCUCAACUCCAGAACUGCCUUCGAUACUGGCGAUCUUGAGUCUGGGAGAGGUGAGUGGAACUCCGAGUGUAGAGGUGAAAUUCGUAGAUAUUCGCAAGAACACCAGUGGCGAAGGCGGCUCACUGGCCCGGUACUGACGCUGAGGUGCGAAAGCGUGGGAGCAACAGGA